UACGGGGGGGGCAAGCGUUGUUCGGAAUUACUGGGCGUAAAGGGCUCGUAGGUGGCCAACUAAGUCGGACGUGAAAUCCCUCGGCUUAACCGGGGAACUGCGUCCGAUACUGGUUGGCUUGAGUUUGGGAGAGGGAUGCGGAAUUCCAGGUGUAGCGGUGAAAUGCGUAGAUAUCGGAAGGAACAUCAGUGGCGAAAGCGACUUCCUGGACCAGUACCGACGUUCAGGCACGAAAGCGUGGGGAGCAAACAGG
rnacentral:rRNA from 1 species